GAGGGAAAGUUGCAAAGAACUUUGAAGAGAGAGUUCAAGAGUACGUGAAACUGCUCAGAGGCAAACGGGUGGGCCCUCGAAAUCCAGCCGGGAGGGGAUUCAGUCGGCGCGGCACCGCACGGGGCGGAGUCGACCGCGACCUCUGAAAGGCGCGGUCCUCUGCCCGGCCCAGCGGGUCGCACGACGCACUUCCCUUCCCGCAGAGGACGCCGCAGCCGGUCGGGUAAAUCCCAAGUCUCGGCCGUGAGGGCGCAGCGACGGCAGUUGGCCUGUCCCCUUCCCGGGGGCACGGUCUGGCCAGCUCGCGCCCGGGUCCGACACCCGACCGAGGUAAGCGGAUCUCCCCUCGGGGAGAUCCUGCCGUGAACUCGCCAACUCGAGCGGAGUCCGUGCCAGGAGACCAGCGUUGCUGUACGGGCGGUGCUUCCACGCUUUCCGCGUGGCCUGCCCCAGCGACCCCCCGGUGGGCACGUGGAAUCCGCGGUGGAUUAACGGCUGGCGGCGAGUAGGUCGGUCACCCACCCGACCCGUCUUGAAACACGGACCAAGGAGUCUAACAUGUGCGCGAGUCACUGGGUCUUGAACAGGCCCACGGGCGCAAUGAAAGUGAAGGUCGCGCUGGCCGCGCGACCGCUCAGUCGGGACCCCAUUCCUGCCGACGUACAGGUGGGAGCACCGACGACCCGUCCCGUCCGACAAGUCGGUGGGCCGGAGUCCGAGCGUACACGUUGGGACCCGAAAGAUGGUGAACUAUGCCCGGGCAGGACGAAGUCAGAGGAAACUCUGGUGGAGGUCCGCAGCGGUCUGACGUGCAAAUCGAUCGUCAGACCUGGG
rnacentral:rRNA from 1 species